rnacentral:lncRNA from 1 species
ACUGUUUCCUCAUCUGUAAAGCAGAGAUAACAGUUCUCUUCUCACAAGACUGUUCAGAGGAUGUAUGAAGCAGCUGCCUUGUGCCACACCAUAUGUCCUCCCAUAUGUCCACUCCUGCCACUCUCUCCCUGGGCAGGCCCAUCUCCCCUGCUUGCCUCAUGGCUAGGCUCUUGGAGCCGGAAGCCCAGCUGCCCUGGAGGAUCUUCCCAGUGCACUCAGAAGACUGAGGUCAGUGCCCCUCUUGGCAAGCCCAUUCUUCUUCCUUGAAAUGCCUCCACCUCAUGGAUGUUGCUUUCUAUGGGCUGGGGUGGGGGUCCAUGGAAGUCAAGACAGUGCCCUUGUUUGACUCUGUCUCCCCAGUAGUAUCUGGUGCUUAGUAAAUACUUGCUGAUUGGAUGGAUGGAUGGAUGGAUAAAUGGGUGGUUAGAUAAAUUGAAGAGCUGUCCACAAACAGUGAGGCAAGUGCUGGAAUAAAUGAAUGUACAAAAUGCCAUCAGAGGAAGUGGGAGUUCUAACUAGUUCAAGCAAGGCCUGCUUGAGAGUCUAAGCAAUAGUUCUGGCACAUGCAGGGCCUUUACCUUUAGAUAAACAGUCAUGAAACUUCAUCAUGAAGGGGAUGAAGGCUGGUCUCAGCGGCAUUGAGGAGGAGGGAAAAAAUGCGAAAAUGCCACCAUAUCCUAGUGUUACAAACGCUGACCUCCAAGCCUCUCCCAAUGACCAGGUGAACACAGUAGCUUACUCUUCCACUUCAGGUGUGCAAGCUAGGGCUGGGAGUGGUUGAGUAGGAGUAGCGGCCAUGCAUGGUGAAAUGAAAAGAUUGAAAGAGCCUUGAUGGAAGGAAACCCCCUGUAAGAUUGGCCACUUUCUCAGAAGGGAAUCCAAGGUGCAGAGCAGCUCAAUGCCUUGUCUAAAGCCACCCUUCAUGCCUGGCCUCCUUUGCAUCUAAACCCAGGUGACUUAUUCCUGCAGGGGUGUUUGAAGCACCUUUGUCAUCCAUGGGAUCCCUAUCUCCAAGACCUCUCAUCCCCCCUCCCAUCCUCCAUAGUGGGGCAGCAGCCAAUAUUGCGGGCACGGGCUCAGCAGCCCACAUCUUGGUCUCUGGACCUGGCUUUCUCCUGGCCCUCCCUGCCUUCCACCCAUCUGAAUCAACCCGAGGGCUGUGUCCAAGGAAGAUCUCUUACUCUGAGGCCCCACUGAAUGCCCCAGGUGAUCACUGAGGACUCUCCAUUCUCCUUGCCAGACUUCCAAUGUCUCUCUGCCCUGUGUGAACUCUGGGAGUUGUGUGGUUUACGACUCCCCAUUGGUUGUUUGCCUGGUUUUGUGGCAUUUCAUUCUAUGCAAGCAGGCCUAGUACACAUCAAGAGGAACUGUAUCUCCUGUCAUUCUCAUGGUGUUCUCUUUGGGCGAACUUAAAAAAAAAUGUUACAAUUGUAUAUGCUCACUGAGAGGAAAAAGUAUGAACAACCCAACAACAAAAUAAACAAAUCAUUUUAGGAGAAAGGUGAAGUGACCCAGCCACCUGAAGCGCCGUAGGAGCCAUGCCACGUGGGAGGGGCUUUGGGGAGUGACUGACCACAGGCCCCUGUGGCCGACGUGCAGUGAGUGAGGGAGGGUAAUGGGGGUGAACAGAGAGGGAUGCCGAGGCCAGCUUGUAGUGUGGCUGUUGGUCUUGUCCAACAAGGAGAGCCACCUCUAUGACUUCUUGGCCCCAUCUUGGGGCCAGGUAACAAAGAUGAAUGACCAUCAUCCAACUCUCUGGGUGCUGGGUGUGGCCGAGGGGUCAGCUCUAACACAGAAUUGCAGAGGCACGUGUGAAGGAGAUCGAGAAGGGACUCUCCUUUUGUAACACAACGGGCUGAGUGCUUACAGUGGGAGCAUGAACACAGAGUGGAGGGAACCUGGGACAGGCAGGGAUGGCAGUGAAGAUGGCAUCUGCUUAGUGACUUGAGGAGGGAGUCAUGGACACCUGCGUGAAGACCACAGCUCCAUCACUUCUUCUCCUGUAAGCCUCAGUCUUCUCUGAGCCUCAGUUUUCUCUCAGGUAAGUGAGGAAUCAUAACACCCACGUCACACUCAGUGCACAGGUGCCAAAGAGCCUAAUGAAAAUGCUCAAAGAAUGUUGGUUUCCCUUUUCUUGAAGUCUUUAUCCGCACUGUUGCUCGGGGCCCAACUCUCACAUGAGGGGGCACACAUCAUUCAAAUGCACACACUUGCCCCUCUGCGGGCCAUGCACUGGGCUUCCAGAAUAAUUGCUUAUACCCAGUCACUUCGCCCAAAUGUUUAUACAGCUGGGGAGGAUGAGAGUGUUGGCGAAUAAGAUCAGAAACCACAGUUAUUGUGAGAAUCACUUGGGGAAAUAGAUGAGAAAGUCUCUUUAAAAAGCCAAAUGCUGAGAAUGCGGGGUGUGUUGAAGCCGCUCACCCCACCUUUAAACAAACACCCCCUCUCACAAGGCCCAUGUGCAUGUAGCCCACUCUGCUAAUGUGUUUGGGGUGCAAGAUGUGCCAACAGCCUCAGAUACUGGAGAGACAUCUUUGCCGCUGGCAUUUCCCCAUCGCUAACCUCUUUGGGGUGCAAGGUGUGUCGACAGCCUCAGAUACAGGCACUGUGCAGGCUCCACCCCAGCCCCUUUCUCGUCCCCUCCCCACCCAAGCCUUAAGGUCUUGAAGAAGUUGGCCAACAGAGCCUUUGCUCCAUAGGUUUUUGGUGAUUAUUUUUGUGAGUUGAUCAUAAUUUGGAUUCCCUUAUGUCAGAUGCAAAUAUCAGGUGUCUGUGCAUUUCUCUGGACAGAGGAUCUACAGCUUUCAUUAGGUUUUUUGAUGGUUUCUAUCCUCAUUCCCUGAAAUGUCUUCAGAAAAUAAAAUUACAAGCCAGCAUUGCAUUGCUGUGUUCAACCAUUCUCCAACUCUCAGCCUGGAGGCAGGGAGCCCCGCCACCCAGCUUGCAGUCAGGAAGCAGGUUGUCUUUCCAGUCUGGAAGUCAGCUGUCUUCACAGUCUGGGGAGGAGGUGGCAAGAGUGACAGCAGGGCCCCUCUGUGUCUCUGACACAUUUUCCCAGGCCCAAACAUGAAUGCUAACUCGUGCUCACUCACAUCUCCUCCCAAGCCCAUCCCACACACGCUCCCCAGAACACUGGGCACUCUCUGUGGAGUGGUUGUGGGAAGGCACCAGAGUGCCAUUGCCACUUACACCCUGCCUUCGUUUUUGCCUAAAAUGCUGGAAAACUUGGGGAUCUUCUGGGGUAGCCAUCUCAUCUUACAGAGGGGAAAAUAGGGAAGGAGCAUUCUCUCAUUUACCUCUAUACUAAGGGCAGAACAUGAUUAGGAAAAUAAAGCAAGCUUCAGAUUCAGGCAGAGCGUCUUCCUCCACUGGAAGGCCCCACGUGGUGGUUUUCACUGUGAGGCUGGGCAUUUCCAAGGAGGAGCCAGCAUGCUGGAUGGGCUGCUGGUCUGACCCUCUCUUGUGAGCUGCAGGCUGUGGGGUCCUGCCAUCAGGAGUGCAGCCAGGCCAGGUAACCAUGUGUAACCACACACGGAGGGGCUCGAGGAGCCAGGACUUGGCAGAGAACAGAAAAAGGAUCCAUCAUUUAUUCACUCCCCCACUCAUUUAUUAAGUCAACCAAUAUUUAUUAAGUUGUUAUACUCCAGGGGCUAGUAACAACAACACGACCAAGAUAGGCCCUAGAGGCAUGAGGCUCACAUGCUCAUAGAACAGCAGCAAACUGAGCUCCACUGCAGGAGGAGGACUGUGUCUUGUUCCCUACACAAUUUACAACAGCAUCAUCACAUUCCGCAGUGAAUAAAGGAUGCGCAGUGGGACCUGCUAUUCCCUUCCAGUUUCUUCUCAUCCUUCAGUUAUUGGUGAAACCCUUAGCCCAGUGUGGCUAAAGAAACUCUUCCCCUUCCCCCUUCCCCCUUCCUCCUUCCCCCUUUCCUCUUCCCCCUUCCCUAUUCCCCCUCCCCUCCCUUCCCUUCCCCUCCCCUUCCUUUCCUUUCCCUUCCCUUCUCUCUCCAUCAUUUCCUCCCUCCCUAUUUCCUUUCUUCCUUCUCUCCCUCCUUCCUUCCUCCCAUCUUCCUUCCCCCUCCUUCAUCCCUCCCUCAUUCCUUCCUUUCAUCCCUCCUUUCCUGCUUCCUUCCCUCCUUUUCCUGUCUCCUCCUCCCUUUCCUAAGAUACAACUCUGAGGGUAUUUCCCCCUGCUGCCCAUCUGAUGGCUUCCUUUUGCUCUCAGGAGGAAGGACAAGGCUCUAACCUGGCCCAGUGUCCUCCAGAGUUUUAGCUAGGGGUGGUCAUGUGAUCAGUCUCUGGCUAAUGAGCUGGAAAUAGUCUUCUGGAAGUCUUUGGAAAGCCUUUAUAAACAUCUUUUCUCCCAGUUUCAGCCAGUUGAGACUUAGACAUUGUAGUCAGAUGGCAACCAGCAAAUGAUUAAUAAGUAGGUUGCUCAAGUAAUUCCUGAAAAUCAACAAGAAGAAAAAGAAAUAGAGAAACAUG